ACUUUCCGACUCUACCCGCGAAUGUGCCGAAAUCAAAGCGAAAGUAAUGAAAAGUUCGCUGAAAAUAUUGUAUUGUAAUUACUUUGUCACGUAUUGAGACAGAAAUGUACUGAAACGGAGGAACCAUCCAUAAUGCUUUGUGACUGUGGAUUCACACAGCAAGGCAGUGCAAAAUUCUGUCCAGAAUGUGGGAGGAAGGUGUUGGCACCAGCAGCAAAGGACAUCCAGACUGCCCCUUGUCCCAACACAGUGGAAGAUGGCAGAAGAACUCCAGUAUGUGGCACCUUGAUCGAUAGCUCCAACAAGUUUUGUAAGGAGUGUGGCUGGAAAAUAACUCCCCAAGCAUUUCUGCCAGGGGCUGCAAUGUGUGAUGGUAACAAACCUAAUGGAGAACUAUGUGACAACAUAGUAACACCAAACAUCAGAUUCUGUUCAGAGUGUGAAAAUCCUCCCAAAACUGGUCCAGUCCAGACAACCAUUUCAACAAGCCCAGCUGUUGUGGAGAAGACUGUAUUGAAUAUAUCAAAUGAAUGGAAAGAUGAUUUGAACAAUGAAAAUAAAAAUCAAAGUGCUCAAGCAGACAAAACACAAGAUCAUACAAGUGAAGAUAUGGACUUUGAAGUUGUAUCGGUUAGCUCUAGUGAGGGAGAAAUUGUGAAGAGGAGCCGCAGCUAUGAAGAAGCAAUAAAUCUAGAGAAUAGUUCAGAUUUCUGCAAUGGUCAGUUAACUGAAAUUACCACAGAACUGAAUUCUUCUAGUCUGAAUUCAGAGUUACAACAACAUGGAGAAAAUCCAGGGAUUCAGGAAAUGAUGGAUUCCAUGGAUAUUGUAGAACAUCCUUCUGAUGGAUCAAUGGAACCUGUUCUACUAGAAGAGGGAAAGAAUGGAAGUGGGAAAAAUGAAAAAGUGGCAAAUUCUCAAAUUAAAACAUUGAAUAUUCCUAAAGAUUAUAUUGGAACAGGUGAUAAUAUAUCUACUUCAGAAGUAAAUGCAUCACAAGGUAACAUAAAUGAAUCUGGUGAUGCCCCAAGUGGAACAAGGAGCAGCAAAAGUCUUUCCACUAAGGAUGUGGAGAAGCCACCAGACACCCCAGGUCAGAAUAAAGAAAAAGAAGGAGAAAUACAAGACACAUCAAGUCAAAAUGAAGUUGCAGAAUAUGAAACACAAGAUAGUGGAACACCUUCCACAGAGGACACAGUGUAUAAACCCUCUUGGAGUCAAAAUAAGGGACCAGAGCAGCAAGUAAAUGAAGACUCAAUAAAAUUGGAUGAAAGAAAGAGGAAAUCUCCAGAGAAAGAGAAUGUAGAUCAGAGUAAAAAGCAGCAUUUAUCUAAGGAUCCGUCAAAAGGAGGUGAUACAAAAGGAAAAGAUGGAGUGAAAUUUAAAGCAGAAGUAAAAGAAGAAGACAGUGUUGUGAAAGACAAAAGCAAAGAGGGAGAAGUGUUGGAUGGAGAGGGACAGGGUGAGGAAGAGGGAGAGGAAGAUGAGGAAGAGGGAGAGGGAGAUGAAGAAGAACAGGGAGAAAAUGAUGGAGAACAGGAAGAAGAUUCUAGCAGUGAGAGUGAUGAAGGGAAAACAACUGAAAAUGAACAGAAAGAUGGAGUUAAAAAGAAAAAACGCAAAAG
rnacentral:misc_RNA from 1 species